rnacentral:rRNA from 1 species
UACGUAGGGGGCUAGCGUUGUCCGGAAUCAUUGGGCGUAAAGCGCGUGUAGGCGGUUCGGUAAGUCCGCUGUGAAAGUCGGGGGCUCAACCCUCGAAUGCCGGUGGAUACUGUCGGACUAGAGUACGGAAGAGGCGAGUGGAAUUCCUGGUGUAGCGGUGAAAUGCGCAGAUAUCAAGAGGAACACCAAUUGCGAAGGCAGCUCGCUGGGACGUUACUGACGCUGAGACGCGAAAGCGUGGGGAGCAAACAGG